ACCGAGUCUUAACUGGGCGUUAAGUUGCAGGGUAUAGACCCGAAACCCGGUGAUCUAGCCAUGGGCAGGUUGAAGGUUGGGUAACACUAACUGGAGGACCGAACCGACUAAUGUUGAAAAAUUAGCGGAUGACUUGUGGCUGGGGGUGAAAGGCCAAUCAAACCGGGAGAUAGCUGGUUCUCCCCGAAAGCUAUUUAGGUAGCGCCUCGUGAAUUCAUCUCCGGGGGUAGAGCACUGUUUCGGCAAGGGGGUCAUCCCGACUUACCAACCCGAUGCAAACUGCGAAUACCGGAGAAUGUUAUCACGGGAGACACACGGCGGGUGCUAACGUCCGUCGUGAAGAGGGAAACAACCCAGACCGCCAGCUAAGGUCCCAAAGUCAUGGUUAAGUGGGAAACGAUGUGGGAAGGCCCAGACAGCCAGGAUGUUGGCUUAGAAGCAGCCAUCAUUUAAAGAAAGCGUAAUAGCUCACUGGUCGAGUCGGCCUGCGCGGAAGAUGUAACGGGGCUAAACCAUGCACCGAAGCUGCGGCAGCGACGCUUAUGCGUUGUUGGGUAGGGGAGCGUUCUGUAAGCCUGUGAAGGUGUGCUGUGAGGCAUGCUGGAGGUAUCAGAAGUGCGAAUGCUGACAUAAGUAACGAUAAAGCGGGUGAAAAGCCCGCUCGCCGGAAGACCAAGGGUUCCUGUCCAACGUUAAUCGGGGCAGGGUGAGUCGACCCCUAAGGCGAGGCCGAAAGGCGUAGUCGAUGGGAAACAGGUUAAUAUUCCUGUACUUGGUGUUACUGCGAAGGGGGGACGGAGAAGGCUAUGUUGGCCGGGCGACGGUUGUCCCGGUUUAAGCGUGUAGGCUGGUUUUCCAGGCAAAUCCGGAAAAUCAAGGCUGAGGCGUGAUGACGAGGCACUACGGUGCUGAAGCAACAAAUGCCCUGCUUCCAGGAAAAGCCUCUAAGCAUCAGGUAACAUCAAAUCGUACCCCAAACCGACACAGGUGGUCAGGUAGAGAAUACCAAGGCGCUUGAGAGAACUCGGGUGAAGGAACUAGGCAAAAUGGUGCCGUAACUUCGGGAGAAGGCACGC
rnacentral:rRNA from 1 species